AGUUUCAAAUUACUUGUGUUUACUAUAAUUUUUAUGGAUUCUGAAUAUUAGAAUGAUUGACUAUUGAUCUGUGAGUAUGAGUUGAUAUUUUUGAAUUUUGAAACUAAAAAAUAUUUUCUUCAGUGUUAAUUUGGUGGUUAUUUUCUUAUGAGUAAAUUAUUUUUUAGAAGAAAUAAUUUACACUUCAAUUUCUACAAGUCAGAAUUCAGAACAUGCAUGUUCUAGAAGAAAUUGAAAGAAUGCCUAUACCUGAUAUCUUUCUGCAAUAUGCUAAAUAUCCGACACCUAGAGCUCUUGAAUAGCAAAGGGCAAUCUUAUUCUAGUAAAUAUAGUUCUGGAUUUACUAAUGGACCCAAAGGGAUGUAGUGUAAGGACCAAUUUCUUGGUUUCAUCUUUGGCCAAUAGGUCCUUAAGCUUUUCCUGCCUUUGGUUCAAGGAAGGCAGGCAGGUUGAGAUGAUUGUCUCGUACCAUUCUUGAGCUCUUUAGACCUCCAUUUAGUUUUGGUUUCUUUAGUUCUUUAGUCGCUUCUUUUACAUGCGUCUCAUGUACCUUCUUCAUGCCUUUGCCUUCGUUAAUAUAAAUCUACCAUUUAACCCAUAAUAUAAUGAAGAAGUUUGUUACCUCUUUUAAGUUUUAAGGCCUAUUAUCUGAUAUUAAUUGGUUUACAUGCUUUUAUCUACAGAAAUUCAAAAAUGGAAAGAACUUAGAAUAUAAGAUAAUGUCAUUGAACGAUAUCGUCAAAAUAUCGUCUUUGGACUGUAUAUGUUGCAGAUGUCACCUGACGCUGUUGAAGUUGUACCCACAUAAUUUUGAGAAGUCUUUUCUUGAUAAAGCUGCAGCAGUGGCCGCAAACAUCGUGCAUAAUCUUGUUAAGCAGGCGCAGAGAAACCAAAUAUGAGCCUCCUAGUAAAGUAAGAAUCUUAGAGAGAUUGAUGGGACAUACAAAAAAGGAACUGAUAAAGUUCAGCAUCUUAUGAAGAAUCUUGCAGCAAGACAGCAAUCAUCUUCAGGAUUCAAGAAGGGGAUUUGGAUGUCGCUGGACAGAAACCUCGAAGGGUACUUUAGUUCAAGGGAGAAGCAGUUCUUAAACGAUAUUGUGGCAAAUGGUCGAAAUGGAAUUGAUGUGGACAAGUUUGAUUACAUCGUCAGAGAUACCCGAGCGUGUGCUCUAGGAUGCAUUUUUCAGUUUCAAAGGUCUUUUCUUUCAUCUUCUUGGUUAUCGUACGUGACAUCUUUUCACAAAUAUUGGAGUGAAAGAAAAAUAGUUCUUUACUAUGAAACUGGCAUCAUAUUCUAUAGGUUAAUGGAGACAAUAAGAGUUCUGGGAGACGAUAUAUGCUAUGGAGCCUAAGAUUGUUAGUACUUCAGUCUUACCAGGAUUUUUAUUUAUUUUGUUUGACUUAUUAUUUGUGUGGAUGAAUCCUCAGAUUUAACCAUCCACAAGUUAUUUGCCACACGAGCUGAUCUACACAGAACUAUUUAUACUCAUGCUAAAGUGAAGGCAAUAAAGCUUAUGGUUGUAGAUGCAGCAGUGAAAGCAAAUGAUUAUCUACAGAUAGCAUCCCAUAUAGAGCACCCUUCUCAAUACUGAAGGUAGGCAUGGUCUUUUUAUUAGCUUAAAUCUAAUCAAUUCACAGAACCAUUAAAUUAAUUUAUCUA